GUAGCUCAAGUACGGGAUAGCUUGACCGCAAGGUCAAGUUGAUCCUUCCGCAUAACACUUGCCGAAGCCUUAGCAGCCUGAAAAGGUGCAAUCCCAACGACUAUAAUUCACGAGGAUUGCUUAAAUGCUAGUCUGCGUAUAGCAGGCGACACUAUCAAAUUGCGGGAACACCCUAAAGACCUCAACACCAAGCGCCGUGGGAAAC
rnacentral:misc_RNA from 1 species